rnacentral:rRNA from 1 species
GAUAAGCGCUGACCGAAUGCUUAACACAUGCAAGUCUACUUGAAUUUGGGUUUUUACUUAGAUUUGGGUGGGCGGACGGGUGAGUAACGCGUAAAGAACUUGCCUCACAGCUAGGGACAACAUUUAGAAAUGAAAUGCUAAUACCUAAUAUUAUGAUAAUAGGGCAUCCUAUAAUUAUGGAAGCUAUAAGCGCUGUGAGAGAGCUUUGCGUCCCAUUAGCUAGUUGGAGAGGUAACGGCUCACCAAGGCGAUGAUGGGUAGCCGGCCUGAGAGGGUGAUCGGCCACAAGGGGACUGAGACACGGCCCUUACUCCUACGGGAGGCAGCAGUGGGGAAUAUUGGACAAUGGACCGAGAGUCUGAUCCAGCAAUUCUGUGUGCACGAUGAAGUUUUUCGGAAUGUAAAGUGCUUUCAGUUGGGAAGAAAGAAAUGACGGUACCAACAGAAGAAGUGACGGCUAAAUACGUGCCAGCAGCCGCGGUAAUACGUAUGUCACGAGCGUUAUCCGGAUUUAUUGGGCGUAAAGCGCGUCUAGGUGGUUAUAUAAGUCUGAUGUGAAAAUGCAGGGCUCAACUCUGUAUUGCGUUGGAAACUGUAUAACUAGAGUACUGGAGAGGUAAGCGGAACUACAAGUGUAGAGGUGAAAUUCGUAGAUAUUUGUAGGAAUGCCGAUGGGGAAGCCAGCUUACUGGACAGAUACUGACGCUGAAGCGCGAAAGCGUGGGUAGCAAACAGG